AUCCAACUGAUGAGUCCCAAAUAAAACAAAACACGCAUCCUGGAU
rfam:Schistosoma mattheei strain Denwood, Zambia genome assembly, scaffold: SMTD_contig0010296